GAAGCAAUGUCACUCGAUCAUUAUCAAAUCGACUGCAAUCUUUUUCUGUCCAUGAGGAUCCAAACAGAGCGCCUUCUACUUCUAAUAGGCCAUGAACUAGAUGAGAAUCAUUCUCAACGAGUACAUAAGAAGUGAUCCCAUUUUUUUCAUCGGGUCCGGAUAGAGACCAAAGGUCUUGAACGACCGAUCCGGCAGAACAAUUCAAAAGAUAAAGAAGUAUCGUUAAUUUCUUCAUGCUCGUUUCAAGUUCGAAGUACCAGUUGUACAAAUAAGAACCCCCUUCGUUACAUGAUUUCUUCUUCAUAUAGAUAGAUAUAGGAUCUAUGGAGCAAUUACUUAGAAGUACAUUUUGUGCAAGAGCCCUUCCUAUCUGAUAGAAAAGGAUCCCAUGAUCCUGAACUGAUCUUACCUGGGAUCGCAAAUCCCAAGUUUGUCUAUGAAGAGCAGAUCUAAUUAUAUUAGUGUCUAUAAUUGAUUUCCUCUGCGUAAUACUAAUCGAUAGGGCCUCAUUGGUAAGUGCUACAAGAUCUCGUACAUUGGAACCCAUGGUUAUGGAACCGAAUCCAUUAGUAUGGAACAUUUUCUUUUCCAAGUGAAAUCCCCUAGUAUAUGAAAGAGUGAAAAAGUGCUUUCGUUGUUGUGGAAUAAGAAGCCUUCGUAUUUUAAUGCAUGUAUUCAAUUUAUUCGGAGCUAUUAGAGCGGGAUCCACUUUUUGGGGAAUAUGGGUCGAAGCAAUAACAAGAAUAUUUGUAGUGGAACAUCUUUCAAAAUCCCUGUAGAGAUAGUUCACUAAUAGACCAAAGUAUAAGUGACUCGACUUAUUCACAUACAGAUCAUGAAUGUUUGGAAUCCAUAUUAUGCAAGGAGACAUUGCUUUUACUAAUUCGAAUUGAAGGGUGAUAUAAAAUUGGUCUAUUUCCAGCUUCAUCUCCAUAGUUAGCGCAUUCAUCAUAGUUAGAAGCUCCAGCUCCGUAUCAAUAUCAAGGUCACGGUCGAUAUCGUCACUAUCAUCAAUAUCGCCACUAUCAUCAAUAUCGUCACUAUCAUCGUCACUAUCAUCAAUAAACUUAGGCUUGUUAUCCCGGAACUUGUUCUGAAAUACUGUAAUUCAAGGAAGAUAGGAGUUUGUCGCUAGGUAUUUGACCAAAUAGGAUCGUCCAGUUCCUAUAGAACCUAUCACUAAAAUACCCGGGGAGAGGGCUAAGCGGAGCGAAAAGAGUUUUCCAUGAGAUGGGAAAUGAAAACUAUUAGCCCCACACGAGGUUUGUGAAUGAGUGAUUGUCUGAUAAUGAGCAAGGAAUGUCCGUCUUUCUGCUAAACAGGAUGUAUUGAACUUAUAAUUCAUUAGAUACUUUUUCUGAAUGUCAACUAAGUAUCGUAAGUAAAUUACUCCCGGUUGUUCAAUCAUUUGAUAACCAGAGUCAUUCUUUGAUAAAUGAUCACUAUGAGUCAGACUCAAUAGAAUUUGAUCAAUCCUUUUUUCUGUCGUUAAGGUGGAGAACUGAACCAAGAAUUCUCUUUCUUUAUCAUCAAUCGAAUCACUGUUCCAGACCCAGGAUUGGAUUUUCUCAUCAAUCCAAUCACCGUUCACAUUUUUUCUUAUCAAUGAAUAUAUCUCUUUACUUGUAUGACUUAGAUGUCUCGUAUUUCUCGAAAAAGCGAUUCGAUUGAUGGGAUUUGGUAUGAUACUUAUGAGAUUGAUGAGAUUGAUAUUCCAAUCUUUCUUCUUCGAACGUAUUGAUUUGACCCCAUAAGCGGGACCGCCACCAGAAGCAGAACCCCAUAUUUCUUCUAGAGAAUCUCCUAAUUGUUCCAGAGCAACUAGAAAGAGAUUCUUUAACCAGAAAGAAUUCCGUUCAUAUGUGGGAUACCUAUCCAGAAGUUUUCGCAACUCAAUCAUGUAUGAUGGAAUCAUCAAAGAUUUGACCUUUUCGAACUCUGUCUGUAACUCACUAUAGGCUCGAGAAACAAAGAGAAGAUGUGUACGAACGAGAUAUACAGCAAUAAGAAGAAGGAAAAGGAUUGAAUAGAGGAACUCCCGAACAUUUGGCGAUCUCAGAUGUGUCGAUAUCGAUGGUGACUCAUUAUUUCGAUGAAUCAUUUCUUCGGACAGAAGAAGAUUAGGUAAACACUUAAUCGAAAUCUCACUUAUCAGAUUCCAUUGUGGAAGACACAAUUUUUUCCGAAGAAUUCGCCAUGAUCUAUCUGAUCGAUGCAUAAUAUCAUCAAAAAUGGAUACAAAUUUUGGGCUGCUACUUAGUAUCGGCAAUAGGUCUGAAAAAGUCUCUCAAAAUAGCAAAUUUAGAUAUUUGUACCCUGUCGAAGUAAAGAACCAUGGCAUAUAUGUUUGGAAUAGAUUCCAUUUUGAGAGAGUUGAAAAAGCACUAUCUCGUUGAAAGGUUCUAUACAUCUGCCCUUUCUCAAGGCAUUUCUUUAGAUAAAGACUCUGUUUUUUCCUCUUUUCGGAUGGUAAAUAUUUCUCAGAACAUGGAGUGUGAAU
rnacentral:lncRNA from 1 species